rnacentral:misc_RNA from 1 species
AAGACUAUAGACCUGCGGAGUACCUGCGGAGGGAUCAUUACCGAGUACCGGGGCCUUCGGGUUCCUACUCCCACCCUAUGUUGACUUUAAAUGUUGCUUUGGCGGACCGGUGGUCUCACCGCUGGCCUAGGCUGGAGAGCGUCCGCCAGAGGAUUUUAAACUCUGUUUAACGGUGAAUUCUGAGUCUUGAUAAAUUGAAUCAAAACUUUUAACAAUGGAUCUCUAGAUCGGAAGAGCACA